AUUGAACGCUGGCGGCAUGCCUUACACAUGCAAGUCGAACGGUAACAGGUUAAGCUGCCGCGUGGCGAACGGGUGAGUAAUGUAUCGGAACGUGCCCAGUCGUGGGGGAUAACUGCUCGAAAGAGCAGCUAAUACCGCAUACGACCUGAGGGUGAAAGCGGGGGAUCGCAAGCCCUCGCGCGAUUGGAGCGGCCGAUAUCAGAUUAGGUAGUUGGUGAGGUAAAGGCUCACCAAGCCGACGAUCUGUAGCUGGUCUGAGAGGACGACCAGCCACACUGGGACUGAGACACGGCCCAGACUCCUACGGGAGGCAGCAGUGGGGAAUUUUGGACAAUGGGCGCAAGCCUGAUCCAGCCAUGCCGCGUGCGGGAAGAAGGCCUUCGGGUUGUAAACCGCUUUUGUCAGGGAAGAAAAGGUUCUGGCUAAUACCUGGGACUCAUGGCGGUACCUGAAGAAUAAGCACCGGCUAACUACGUG
rnacentral:rRNA from 1 species